UAAUGUGAGUACCAAUUAUUUUGACAAAUAUUUGUUUAAUAUUCUUGAUAAUAUUUUUAGUGAACUUCUUAUCUAAAAUGUAAUGUUUAACUUUUAAGACAUGUACAGUAGAUAUUGAAACUCACAUCAUAAUUUUCCUCAAAUUUAUUUUCGUAUUGCGCUUUAAAGGCAGUAAAUUGUAGGGUUGCACAAAUUGCAGCAGAGACCCAGAAUGUAAGUAAUCACUUGAGAACAUAAACUUUUUUUCACACUACUAUUCAGAAACGUAAUUAAGUAUUCCUAUUGUGCGAUUUAUUCAACAUACAGGUUAUGUGACAGAUGUAGCGCACUUCCUUUAUACAAUAUACAUGUAAUUUUGUUCUCUCUUUAGUGUAUAGCCUUGACGACUGACACAUUCAUUUUGUGGCAUAGAGACUGGCUUGCUUCAAAAACAGUUUCAGAUUCUCAUUUGAAAAUUCUUGAGGUACUGUACAAUUUGCAAAAUAAAUAUAUAUUAAGCUCUCCUGCAUGUUUAUACAUGUAAUGGCACAGUAUGUGUUUCCUAUUUCUUUCAUUACAGUAUGAUGCACAGAAAAUUCUGUUUCCAAGAAUUGUUGGUGGCCAGACACCAGAGAGAGGAUGCCACUUCAUUCUUUGGCAAGCUUUAUGGAAAAGAACAUGUGACAUAUUACAUGCAUGGAUUGGUUUGGUGCACCUCCUCAGACAAGAUGCCAAAAAGUAUGCUGUCCUUGAUAACAUAUCAUGUUUCCCAUUUGAAAACUUCCUUGGCCUGGGUGCCUUAAUAAACAAUAGACAGUCAUCGCUCAGUUAUUGGCCCUUGGACUCACCUGGCACCUCUUGUACAGCAUGAAGUUUUCUGCUAUGAAGAUUUACAGAGACUCCAGAAUGAAAAGCAAUGCACCAGCAGCUUCAGAUGACAGC